rnacentral:rRNA from 1 species
UGGGGAAUAUUGCACAAUGGGCGCAAGCCUGAUGCAGCCAUGCCGCGUGUGUGAAGAAGGCCUUCGGGUUGUAAAGCACUUUCAGCGAGGAGGAAGGUGGUGAGCUUAAUACGCUCAUCAAUUGACGUUACUCGCAGAAGAAGCACCGGCUAACUCCGUGCCAGCAGCCGCGGUAAUACGGAGGGUGCAAGCGUUAAUCGGAAUUACUGGGCGUAAAGCGCACGCAGGCGGUUUGUUAAGUCAGAUGUGAAAUCCCCGGGCUCAACCUGGGAACUGCAUUUGAAACUGGCAAGCUAGAGUCUCGUAGAGGGGGGUAGAAUUCCAGGUGUAGCGGUGAAAUGCGUAGAGAUCUGGAGGAAUACCGGUGGCGAAGGCGGCCCCCCUGGACGAAGACUGACGCUCAGGUGCGAAAGCGUGGGGCAGCAAACAGGAUUAGAUACCCUGGUAGUCCACGCUGUAAACAAUGUCGAUUUGGAGGUUGUGCCCUUGAGGCGUGGCUUCCGGAGCUAACGCGUUAAAUCGACCGCCUGGGGAGUACGGCC